rnacentral:tRNA from 1 species
GGUAGAAUGGCUGAUUAAAGCAAUAAAUUGUAAAUUUAUUUAUGGAAAUUCUUUCCUUUUACCA